rnacentral:ncRNA from 13 species
AGCAUAUCAAUAAGCGGAGGA